rnacentral:lncRNA from 1 species
UGUGCCCUCCAGUGCUCACCACUGUGCUAUAGCUCCAAGUAGAGCAGCUGGGGAGUAACUGCUGAUGGUGAGCACAUAGCGGGAGGAUACAGUAGAUGACCCUUGGAGAUGCCAGGUACCAUUUGCAGAAUGCUGCAGAUGAUAUUUGGCAGGGCCUGUCCUGAAGCCCAGGUUGCUUGCCUGAGCAGGUUCUUAUGCCUU